UACAGAGGUCUCGAGCGUUAAUCGGAGUCACUGGGCUUAAAGGGUGCGUAGGCGGACCCGCAAGUGCUUUGUGAAAUCCCAUGGCUUAACCAUGGAAUGGCUUGGCAUACUGCGGGUCUUGAGGUCGGUAGAGGCUGCUGGAACUCUAGGUGGAGCGGUGAAAUGCGUAGAUAUCUAGAGGAACGCCGAUGGUGAAGACAGGCAGCUGGGCCGAUUCUGACGCUGAGGCACGAAAGCGUGGGGAGCGAACGGG
rnacentral:rRNA from 1 species